CUGCGUUACGGCAACAGGAAACGCUUUAUUGGGGAAAAAAUCCAAUGCAAAGGCUGCGUGGGAACCGGGCUGAGCGAGCGAGGGGAGACUCCGGCCCCCAGCCGCGCCGGCCGAAAAGAGAAGGCCAGGCUGCACAGGGCUUGGAGCGACCUGGGCUGCUGGAAGGUGUCCCUGGCCAUGGCAGGGCUGGAAUCAGAUGAAAUCCACGGAGCCCUCAUCUCGAUUCCACAGCAGCAGUGAAUAACAAAUCCCUGAUCACGUGUGCCUGGAGAGAGCUGCGGGUCUGCACGGGAGAGAAGAGACUUUCAGAAAUCUGCCCCUGUGCCAUUCUCCACGAGAGUCAUUUCUACAGAACUCUGUUCAGCCCUGAGACCUUGGGGGUUUAUUUGGGCACGGCACGUUUGGCUGUAGCUGUGAAGGGAACUCAGGAAUUCAUUUUCCAGGUGAAAUGAUUGCUAGAAAUGCAUUAGCAUUUUGCUCCACAGCAGCCAACACUCAAUCCUCUCUGGGAGAAGGAAGCUCUUUUCUCUGCAUGCAGGUACCUGCUCCUGGCCCACUGUGGGCAAAUAAAAACAGGAUUCCCUGAGUGAUUUCAUUUGGAUUUCUAAAGUACUGGCUAAUAUU